AAAUUAACUCAGGAAGUAAAUUUGAGGACUAAGUACCGGAUAAUGUCUUCGGAACCAAAGAAUUUUAUCGUCCUUUAAGAUGGGCCCGCGUAAAGAUUAGCUAGUUGGUGGGUAAAGGCCUACCAAGGCGACGAUCUUUAGCUGGUCUGAGAGGAUGAUCAGCCACACUGGGACUGAGACACGGCCCAGACUCCUACGGGAGGCAGCAGUGGGGGAAUAUUGGACAAUGGGGCGAAAGCCUGAUCCAGCAAUGCCGCGUGAGUGAUGAAGGCCUUAGGGUUGUAAAGCUCUUUUACCCGAGAUGAUAAUGACAGUAUCGGGAGAAUAAGCUCCGGCUAACUCCGUG
rnacentral:rRNA from 1 species